AGAUAAUAGAUAUCCAGGUAGUCCACGCCGUAAACGAUGAGUGCUAAGUGUUAGAGGGUUUCCGCCCUUUAGUGCUGCAGCUAACGCAUUAAGCACUCCGCCUGGGGAGUACGGCCGCAAGGCUGAAACUCAAAGGAAUUGACGGGGGCCCGCACAAGCGGUGGAGCAUGUGGUUUAAUUCGAAGCAACGCGAAGAACCUUACCAGGUCUUGACAUCCUCUGACACUCCUAGAGAUAGGACGUUCCCCUUCGGGGGACAGAGUGACAGGUGGUGCAUGGUUGUCGUCAGCUCGUGUCGUGAGAUGUUGGGUUAAGUCCCGCAACGAGCGCAACCCUUGUUCUUAGUUGCCAGCAUUCAGUUGGGCACUCUAAGGAGACUGCCGGUGACAAACCGGAGGAAGGUGGGGAUGACGUCAAAUCAUCAUGCCCCUUAUGACCUGGGCUACACACGUGCUACAAUGGAUGGUACAAAGGGCAGCAAAGCCGCGAGGCCUAGCCAAUCCCAUAAAACCAUUCUCAGUUCGGAUU
rnacentral:rRNA from 1 species